CUACGGGGGGCUGCAGUGGGGAAUAUUGGACAAUGGGCGAAAGCCUGAUCCAGCCAUGCCGCGUGUGUGAAGAAGGCCUUCGGGUUGUAAAGCACUUUCAGUGGGGAAGAAAGCCUUGGGGCUAAUACCCUCGAGGAAGGACAUCACCCACAGAAGAAGCACCGGCUAACUCCGUGCCAGCAGCCGCGGUAAUACGGAGGGUGCGAGCGUUAAUCGGAAUUACUGGGCGUAAAGCGCGCGUAGGCGGUCUGAUAAGCCGGUUGUGAAAGCCCCGGGCUCAACCUGGGAACGGCAUCCGGAACUGUCAGGCUAGAGUGCAGGAGAGGAAGGUAGAAUUCCCGGUGUAGCGGUGAAAUGCGUAGAGAUCGGGAGGAAUACCAGUGGCGAAGGCGGUCUUCUGGACUGACACUGACGCUGAGGUGCGAAAGCGUGGGUAGCAAACAGGAUUAGAUACCCUAGUAGUC
rnacentral:rRNA from 1 species